rnacentral:rRNA from 1 species
AUUGAACGCUGGCGGCAGGCCUAACACAUGCAAGUCGAGCGGAUGAAGGGAGCUUGCUCCUGGAUUCAGCGGCGGACGGGUGAGUAAUGCCUAGGAAUCUGCCUGGUAGUGGGGGAUAACGUCCGGAAACGGGCGCUAAUACCGCAUACGUCCUGAGGGAGAAAGUGGGGGAUCUUCGGACCUCACGCUAUCAGAUGAGCCUAGGUCGGAUUAGCUAGUUGGCGGGGUAAAGGCCUACCAAGGCGACGAUCCGUAACUGGUCUGAGAGGAUGAUCAGUCACACUGGAACUGAGACACGGUCCAGACUCCUACGGGAGGCAGCAGUGGGGAAUAUUGGACAAUGGGCGAAAGCCUGAUCCAGCCAUGCCGCGUGUGUGAAGAAGGUCUUCGGAUUGUAAAGCACUUUAAGUUGGGAGGAAGGGCAGUAAGUUAAUACCUUGCUGUUUUGACGUUACCAACAGAAUAAGCACCGGCUAACUUCGAG